rnacentral:lncRNA from 1 species
AUCCUUAACAAUCCCUAUUAUAAUAAAUAUAAUUUUAUCAAAACAUUUUUCUCCAUAGUUUUUCUUGGAUGGUAUUUGAAGUUCCGGAUCUGCACUUUCCCUUCCUUGGACAAGAAGGAAUCAGCCAUCAGAAACAUCAAAUUGAGCUCAUAUGAGCCAGAAACUGCAGGAUGUACAGGAGGGAACACUCACUGGGUCACUACGCUAUUUGGGUAUACAGUGGCUACUGCUUUUCUACCAUUCCUUGGAAGAACCACGUUGAUGAUAGCCAGCAGGCAAUUCUGGUUUUCUUUAAAGGAUGAAGGCCAUGCCCCUGUCACUGAGAAUCUCUGAGCAGGAGACUGGUUUCCCAUCAAAGAUUCUCUCUUCCCAGAAAUCACUAUCUUAGGAAGGCAGUAGCAGGCGAUGAAGACAGUCAAGAGCUGUGUACUGAGAAACACCAGAUACACAUCCCAGCCCUGUCCCUGGGAGCAAGGCUUCACGCAAGUAUUGCUUUUCUCUUCCCUUUCCCCCCUCAAUCUUCUUCAUAGACAUUCUCAUUUGUAAUCAUGGGUAUGUGUGUGGACAUGUCCACAUGAGUACAGAUGCCUAAAAAGACCAGACAGUUCAGAUUGCACUAGCGUUGUUAAACGGGCAGUUGUGAGAUAUCUGAUGUGUGUGCUGAUUAGUUUUGUCUACUUGACACAGGCCUAGCACAAUCUUGGAAAAAUGACUCUCAAUUGAGGAACUGCCUCAUCAGAUUAUCCUGUGGGCAUGUCUUAGGUGUUUUCUUUAUUGCUAACGGAUGCAGAAGAGCCCGUACCUCUGUUGGCAAAUCGACCUUAAGUUGGUAUCCUGAACUGAGUCAGAAAAGUAGUUGAGCAAGCCAG